GUCAAAUUCAAUGGUUUUAUCUAGAAUUCGAUUAUCACCCUUUGCAGUUUUGUAUCUGGACAAGGAUAUCCAUAUUUGAUUGUGAAGCAUUCGGAAUAGAAGAAAUGGAAAUAUAAUUAGGUAUCCAAUAUCUAUCUUGCUUCCAUCUUCUCUAUUCAACAAUGACUCAAUGCUACGUCCCACAAAUGGUGCCAAAACAACGUACUUGAAAUUCCCAAGCCAUGUCCAUGGCCAUUCUGUGAGAAUCCCUGGUUUUGAAGCCAUGCUAAUUCUCUUUUG
rnacentral:misc_RNA from 1 species